rnacentral:rRNA from 1 species
AUUGAACGCCGGCGGCAUGCUUUACACAUGCAAGUCGAACGGCAACAGGCCGCAAGGUGCUGACGAGUGGCGAACGGGUGAGUAAUGCAUCGGAACGUGCCCAGGCGUGGGGGAUAACUACUCGAAAGAGUAGCUAAUACCGCAUACGAUCUAUGGAUGAAAGCGGGGGACCGUAAGGCCUCGCGCGAUUGGAGCGGCCGAUGUCAGAUUAGGUAGUUGGUGGGGUAAAGGCUCACCAAGCCAACGAUCUGUAGCUGGUCUGAGAGGACGACCAGCCACACUGGGACUGAGACACGGCCCAGACUCCUACGGGAGGCAGCAGUGGGGAAUUUUGGACAAUGGGCGCAAGCCUGAUCCAGCAAUGCCGCGUGCAGGAAGAAGGCCUUCGGGUUGUAAACUGCUUUUGUACGGAACGAAACGGCUCUGGUUAAUACCCGGGGCUAAUGACGGUACCGUAAGAAUAAGCACCGGCUAACUACGUG